CACGUAGUUAGCCGGGGCUUCUUAGUCAGGUACCGUCAUUUUCUUCCCUGCUGAUAGAGCUUUACAUACCGAAAUACUUCCUCACUCACGCGGCGUCGCUGCAUCAGGGUUUCCCCAUUGUGCAAUAUUCCCCACUGCUGCCUCCCGUAGGAGUUUGGGCCGUGUCUCAGUCCCAAUGUGGCCGUUCACCCUCUCAGGCCGGCUACUGAUCGUCGCUUUGGUAGGCCGUUACCCUGCCAACUGGCUAAUCAGACGCGGGUCCAUCUCAUACCGAUAAAUCUUUUCCGUCCGUAUCAUGCGAUACUAGCGGGUUAUGCGGUAUUAGCGGUCGUUUCCAACUGUUAUCCCCCUGUAUGAGGUAGGUUACCCACGCGUUACUCACCCGUCCGCCACUCAGUCACAAGAGUUCUCAUCCGAAGAUUCAAUCUCAAGUGCUUCGUUCGACUUGCAUGUGUUAAGCACGCCGCCAGCGUUCAUCGUGAGCCAGGAUCAAACUCU
rnacentral:rRNA from 1 species